UAUCUGUCUUCUCUCAGCCCUCUCUAUAUUCUCUCUUCUUUCUCUUAAUAAAUCAUCAUAAGGUUUCUUCAAUGGUUUGCAAGGAUUGUGGAUAAUGGGAUCAUCCAUCCAAGGUGUACGCCUCCCCUCAAUCGAAAAUCACUGGCCACCAUAGCAACAUGCUUCACUUCCAUUGCUUCGUUUUUUUCAAUCUCUACAUCCCAUCUUGCUUUAUGUAUCUAUUUUUUUAACCUAAUCAAUCUCUGUUCUUUUUCUAUUUGUAUGGUUUCAACAACAACUGUGUAACUCAGGGUGUUCAGAUUUAGGGUUCUGACAAAAAUGGGGAUGGUUACGGGUUCCGAUGGUGGAUCGACCUUCCAACCAUGCUCCGGCAAAGAUUCCGGCAACUACGUUAUUGUCAAAGUUGUAAGUAUUUGGUAAAGGAUCCUAAGUUUGCUCGCAAAACGGGAAUUCUUUGAUCGCAAUUGGAGGCUUGUGGGAACCUUCUGAUGGCAACGAUCCUUCAGUUGAAAACUCAACAUUGGUUCAAACGGCUAUCAGGCAUGCCAAAGACAUCACAGGACUAGAUUUAAAGAGUUGUCAUCAUUGGAAUCCUUUUCUUAAGGUUCAUAGUUCCCUUUCCUCCUCUAUUGCCAUGGCCAGCCCCCUUAGUUUGCAAACGUCCGACGGUGGUACAAGCAGUCAUAUGUUCCUUAGUGAACUCCGUGAAGUGAGCACCGGACCUAUCAUGAUAAUGGUUUGUAGAAAAUGGGACGUGACAAGUGUUAACGGCAGGUACAUGAGCACCGACUAUAUUGUUACUGACAUAAAGAGAGGUGUGAUGUAUUUGCACCGCAAGGAAUAACAUUGCCCACUGUU